AUGGCGGCACUCAAGCUCAAGCUCAUGGUGCCACCGGCAGGCUUUUGCUUGUUUCUACUGCUCAUGCCACCACUCCUACUUCCUCCUGGAUGUGCUGCCACUCGUCCUGAUCCCACCCAAGGGCCAUCUGAGGGCAACAACAGGACAUGCACGGAGCUGAGCAAGAGGAGCCCCAUCCUCUACUGCGAGCACCACGCAUGCGUCGACAACUGCCGCAUCGAGGGCUUCGCCGAGGGAGGGUUUUGCAACUGGCUGCGCUGCCUCUGCAAGAGGCCCUGCUGA
rnacentral:rRNA from 1 species